CAUUGAGUCACUCCCCCGGACGCUCAGGUGGCGGCACGGAUCUCUGCCUCUCUGACUGACAUCUGUGGGUGGGUGUCUGCUCAACCAUCAACCACGACAAGACUGAACCACUUCUCCUUCCCGGGAAAAGAUUCUCCGACCCAGGAACUGACGGUUACCUUUGGCAACUCCGUGUUAACGCCCGCUUUGACUGCGAGGAACCUCGGCGUGCCACUCGACAGCCAACUCUCCGUGACUCCCAACGCCAUUGCGACAACACAAUCCUGUAGACACACGCUCUGCAACCUCAGGAGAAUACGUCUCCUCCUCAGAAGGAACUGGAGUCAGGCCGCUGCUGGUGUGCGUGGCAGCGGCGGUGGGGCCUGCCCAGCGUCACUGUCUCCUGCCAACGGGUGUGCCAGCUGGUCACUGCAGUCAUCUUCUCUCUCAACGAGGCGCAGAGGAGGAGCCGCCUUCGCUGACUCAAGAAGAAGAAGAAGAGGGGGG
ensembl:lncRNA